rnacentral:rRNA from 1 species
ACGAACGCUGGCGGCGUGCUUAACCCAUGCAAGUCGAACGGAAAGGCCCGGCUUUUGUGGGGUGCUCGAGUGGCGAACGGGUGAGUAACACGUGAGUAACCUGCCCUUGACUUUGGGAUAACUUCAGGAAACUGGGGCUAAUACCGGAUAGGAGCUCCUGCUGCAUGGUGGGGGUUGGAAAGUUUCGGCGGUUGGGGAUGGACUCGCGGCUUAUCAGCUUGUUGGUGGGGUAGUGGCUUACCAAGGCUUUGACGGGUAGCCGGCCUGAGAGGGUGACCGGCCACAUUGGGACUGAGAUACGGCCCAGACUCCUACGGGAGGCAGCAGUGGGGAAUAUUGCACAAUGGGCGGAAGCCUGAUGCAGCAACGCCGCGUGCGGGAUGACGGCCUUCGGGUUGUAAACCGCUUUCGCCUGUGACGAAGCGUGAGUGACGGUAAUGGGUAAAGAAGCACCGGCUAACUACGUG